GAUGAACGCUGGCGGCGUGCCUAAUACAUGCAAGUCGAACGCGCGGAUCAGGAGCUUGCUCCUGUGACGCGAGUGGCGGACGGGUGAGUAACGCGUAGGCAACCUGCCCAUCAGACCGGGAUAACCACGGGAAACCGUGGCUAAUACCGGAUAACCCUUUCCCACACAGGUGGGAAAGUUGAAAGGCGGUCUUUUGGCUGUCACUGAUGGAUGGGCCUGCGGCGCAUUAGCUUGUUGGUGGGGUAACGGCCCACCAAGGGGACGAUGCGUAGCCGACCUGAGGGGGUGAUCGGCCACACUGGGACUGAGACACGGCCCAGACUCCUACGGGAGGCAGCAGUAGGGAAUCUUCCGCAAUGGACGAAAGUCUGACGGAGCAACGCCGCGUGAGUGAAGAAGGGUUUCGGCUCGUAAAACUCUGUUGUCAGGGAAGAACGCCGACGGGAGUAACUGCCCGUCGGGUGACGGUACCUGACCAGAAAGCCACGGCUAACUACGUGCCAGCCGCCGCAGUAA
rnacentral:rRNA from 1 species